GACGGACGCUGGCGGCGUGCCUAAUACAUGCAAGUUGAGCGCUGAAGGUUGGUACUUGUACCAACUGGAUGAGCAGCGAACGGGUGAGUAACGCGUGGGGAAUCUGCCUUUGAGCGGGGGACAACAUUUGGAAACGAAUGCUAAUACCGCAUAAAAACUUUAAACACAAGUUUUAAGUUUGAAAGAUGCAAUUGCAUCACUCAAAGAUGAUCCCGCGUUGUAUUAGCUAGUUGGUGAGGUAAAGGCUCACCAAGGCGAUGAUACAUAGCCGACCUGAGAGGGUGAUCGGCCACAUUGGGACUGAGACACGGCCCAAACUCCUACGGGAGGCAGCAGUAGGGAAUCUUCGGCAAUGGACGAAAGUCUGACCGAGCAACGCCGCGUGAGUGAAGAAGGUUUUCGCAUCGUAAAACUCUGUUGGUAGAGAAGAACGUUGGUGAGAGUGGAAAGCUCAUCAAGUGACGGUAACUACCCAGAAAGGGACGGCUAACUACGUG
rnacentral:rRNA from 1 species